CGAGGCCCAGGAUGAUCAACUAGUAUUUGCCUACAUUGCUUGAUUGCUGUAUGAUAAAAGAUUAUGUUGUUCUGAGGCUUUG